UGAGUAACGCGUGGGAACAUACCCUUUCCUGCGGAAUAGCUCCGGGAAACUGGAAUUAAUACCGCAUACGCCCUACGGGGGAAAGAUUUAUCGGGGAAGGAUUGGCCCGCGUUGGAUUAGCUAGUUGGUGGGGGUAAAGGCCUACCAAGGCGACGAUCCAUAGCUGGUCUGAGAGGAUGAUCAGCCACAUUGGGACUGAGACACGGCCCAAACUCCUACGGGAGGCAGCAGUGGGGAAUAUUGGACAAUGGGCGCAAGCCUGAUCCAGCCAUGCCGCGUGAGUGAUGAAGGCCUUAGGGUUGUAAAAGCUCUUUCACCGGAGAAGAUAAUGGCCGGAUCCCGAAAAAGAGCCCCCGGUUAACUUCGUGCCACCACCCGCGGUAAUACAAAGGGGGCUAGCGUUGUUCGGAAUUACUGGGCGGAACGUAAAGCGCACGUAGGCGGAUAUUUAAGUCAGGGGUGAAAUCCCAGAG
rnacentral:rRNA from 1 species